UACGGAGGGUGCGAGCGUUGUCCGGAAUCAUUGGGCGUAAAGGGCGCGUAGGUGGCCCGGUCAGUUCGUGGUGAAAGCGCGGGGCUCAACCCUGCGUCGGCCAUGAAUACUGCCGCGGCUGGAGCACUGUAGAGGCAGGCGGAAUUCCGGGUGUAGCGGUGGAAUGCGUAGAGAUCCGGAAGAACACCGGUGGCGAAGGCGGCCUGCUGGGCAGUUUGCUGACACUGAGGCGCGACAGCGUGGGGAGCAAACAGG
rnacentral:rRNA from 1 species